GCUCGAAAAUGUUAAAGUUCUUAUUUCAUGGUAUAACUUUGGUAUGCUUGGACCUAGAGUCUUCAAACUUGACAUGAAGGUUGGCCAGGAUUAACAGAUGACCACUGGUCAUUUCAAGGUCAUUCAUUUGAAGGUCAAGGUCACUGUGACCUUCAAUAUAAAAAAUGUUAAAGUUCUUAUAACUUUGGUAUGCUUGGACCUAGAGUCUUGAAACUUGACAUGAAGGUUGGCCAUAACUAGUUAGUAACCACUGGUCAUUUCAAGGUCAUUCAUUUGAAGGUCAAGGUCACUGUGACCUUGAAUGUAAAAAUGUUAAAGUUCUUAUUUCAUGGUAUUACUUUGGUAUGCUUGGACCUAGAGUCUUCAAACUUGACAUGAAGGUUGGCCAGGAUUAACAGAUGACCACUGGUCAUUUCAAGGUCAUUCAUUUGAAGGUGAAGGUCACUGUGACCUUCAAUAUAAAAAUGUUAAAGUUGUUACAACUUUGGUAUGCUUGGACCUAGAGUCUUGAAACUUGACAUGAAGGUUGGCCAGAACUAGUAAGUAACCACUGGACAUUUCAAGGUCAUUCAUUUGAAGGUCAAGGUCACUGUGACCUUGAAUGUAAAAAUGUUAAAGUUGUUAUAACUUUGGUAUGCUUGGACCUAGAGUCUUGAAACUUGACAUGAAGGUUGGCCAGAACUAGUAAGUAACCACUGGACAUUUCAAGGUCAUUCAUUUGAAGGUCAAGGUCACUGUGACCUUGAAUGUAAAAAUGUUAAAGUUCUUAUUUCAUGUUAUAACUUUGGUAUGCUUGUACCUAGAGUCUUCAAACUUGAAAUAAAGAUUGGCCAGUACUAGAAGAUGACCACUGGUCAUUUCAAUGUCAUUCAUUUGAAGGUCAAGGUCACUGUGACCUUAAAUGUUAAAAUGUUAAAAUUGUUAUAACUUUGGUAUGCUUGGACAUAGAGUCUUCAAACUUGACAUGAAGGUUUGCAAGCACACUUAGAUGACCACUGGUCAUUUCAAGGUCAUUCAUUCUAAGGUCAAGGUCACUGUGAACAA